rnacentral:tRNA from 1 species
UGCGGGGUGGAGCAGUCCGGUAGCUCGUCGGGCUCAUAACCCGAAGGUCGCGGGUUCGAAUCCCGCCCCCGCUACCA